ensembl:lncRNA
GCAAGGAUUAAGCUGGACUUCCAUGGUACUCUGUACCAGUAUCUGCUUCACUGGUAUUAGGCCAGUGUGUCAGGUGGAGGGACUGUGCGGUAUGCCACAUGUGUUGUAAGCAGUCCUUCCAAUAGACUCAGUCUGCAAUUGAUCCGUUGUACCAAAGUAAAGGAGCAUGCAGAGUUUUAUUUCUGCGUUAUUGUGUGGACUGCUCUGUGGAAGCUCUGUGUUUGCUCACCAGUGUCUAGCAGAGUGAGGGCAGAUGAGCUGGAGGAGUUCUGUCUCAGAGAGCAGCAGUCAGGCAUUAGUCCUGGAAGAACACCAAGAAAAAAGUCACUUAGUUCCUGAUGAAUUGCAUGUCUGUUUGUGCCUCAUAGCCGCACAGGUAUGUAUGUGAAUUUCCUAUAGCUAUGUAAAUGUAUGUAUUAACUGUUGCAUUACUACAUUUUGUUUACUAAAGUUGCUUAUAGAUGUCGUAAUAUGCAAUUGUUAAUUUUUGAUCACUUGUCAUUAAAUAUUGACAGUUCCAAAGAACUGUACUUUGUACACACUUUGCAUUGCAUAUCACUGUAAGAAUAAGAUCCACAUUUCUAAGAUUUGAUGAGGCAGAAUAAUUUUAAUUACAAAGCAUUCAUCUGGUGAAGAUUAGAGAGUAUUUUAUGGAACUGUGCUGUUAAAGCAACUGGUGAGUGAGGUCAGAGCAUUGGAGAAGCACUGUCUUUGGUAUCUUUGUUUUAUUAUCAAACUUCCUUGAUGCAUUUCAGGUUGAUUCUUUGCCGAGGUCGCUUUAGGUCAGAAGUGGCUGCAGCCCUACUCUCUUCUGCAUUGUCUCAGUAGCCAGAUGAAUCUGGACUGGGUGGGAAUGUUUACGGUAGUUUAAAAUUUCAGCCAUGCGCUGUUGUUGUUCCUGGGCAACAGGCAGGAAAUCUCCAAAGCUUGGUUGCACCUGCGCAGUCAUAGGCUGGAAACACACAGAAGCCCGUUAGCAGAUCGUCCGUGCUGUUGUGGAUCUGUGUUUCAUGCACUCAUGAGUUGGAAGGAUAGGAGUUGUAGGCUUUGGACUGUUGCAUUGGGCCGUUAUAACACUCACUGGCUAUAGUAUUCAGAUACUUUUACUUUAUUCUUUGUUUUGUGUCUCAAAUAUUUUUAAUAUAUCCCAACUGCCUUAGAAAACGUAUAUCUCACAUAGUGUAUCUCUCGAGAAAAGCGUGUUGGUAAUUUUUUGUCCUAAGAGAGACAUUUUGUGUUUGGCUUGAUUUCACCAUGUUGGCAGCCCCUCUGCGUGGGGCUGGAUGUAGUUAUUGAUCCAUUUAGCUGAACAGAUUUGAAAGCAUUUGGCUAUUAGUGGACACAUGGGGCACAUUCAGAAAAUGUAAGAGUAUACUGUAAGAUUUUACUUGUGUAUGUGUCUCUUCUGCAGUUGGGGUUGAAGAAAUGGGGAAAGAAACUGAAAAUUAAGUAGUAAAUUCUAGAAGAGGGGCUAACAUACACAUGAAAUUUUAAGGCUGCUAUGUUAUCAUUUGAUCAAAUCUAGCUCCUUGGCGUUUUUUCCAGAGUUACUUGUAGUGCAAUUCAGUUUCUUCUGUUAAUAGCUUUAUUUAUGUUGUGACAAAUUAGUAUAUCUUUAAGAGAUUUGAACUAUUAUUGAAUUUAUCUUCGGUAAAGUUCUGUAAGUGAAAUUCAAACAGCUGUACUUUUAUAUAAAGGUAUUUAAUUAAUUGAUUCCCUUGUCCCAAAUUCCUGAUACUGAAAACUUGUUUGUAUGGCUUGUAUUAGUCUCCUUAACAUGCUAAAAAUAUUAAAGAUUUUUCCAUGAGAAUUUAAUAACCCAAAUCCUAAGUCUUAGAACUGCUGUAUUUUCCUACUAUUAGCAUACAGCAGAUAUUUGUUUGAAAUAAUACAUCAUUACAAUAUGGCCUGGAUUAACCUCUUGGGAACUAGAAAAUAGACACAAAGGAGGUAGAGGAGAGUCUGUGGCUCCUUACCAUAGUACCUUGUACAGAGCAUUUGGUCAGGGCGUGCUGGCUAGAAUAAAACAUGCCAGGCAGUGUGGUAGAAAUGGAG